UACGGGGGGGGGCAAGCGUUGUUCGGAAUUACUGGGCGUAAAGGGCUCGUAGGCGGCCAACUAAGUCAGACGUGAAAUCCCUCGGCUUAACCGGGGAACGGCCUCUGAUACUGGCUGGCUGGAGUUCGGGAGAGGGGUGCGGAAUUCCAGGUCGUAGCGGUGAAAUGCGUAGAUAUCUGGAGGAACACCGAUGGCGAAGGCAGGUCUCUGGGCCAUAACUGACGCUGAGAAGCGAAAGCAUGGGGAGCGAACAGG
rnacentral:rRNA from 1 species